AGAACAUCGCCGAACAAAGAAACGUGAAGCUUCUUCUUCUUUCCAAGCAUCUGUAGGGUUCGCAACUUCAUCAAAAUCGACUGCAAGAAUCUCAAAGCGAGGCAAAGGAGCUGCGCUUCACAAUGAAUAGGGGAUUUUGUCAGGAGUGAUUCGCGGCGACACUGUGCUUUGUCACGCGAGGUCAUAUCCCGAAUGCCAUCGUUGUAGGGGCCCCUUCCAAGUGCUUUGUUCUCGGCUCAAUUUGGCCCUUUAAAGAAGCGGUGGACGUGGAUUUGGGAGAAGCAUCCGCAUUAGAGUUCUGCUAUGCAUCAUGGCUCCAAAAGGCGAAAACAUCAUAGACUGGAGUGAUGAAAUGGAGUUUGCUUCCUAAACGUAAUGCUUGAGAAGAACACACACUACAACAUGGAAGAGCAGUACUUGGCAUGAUAUCACAGCUGAAAUGAUCAAUCUAUUUCCCGAUAAGCAACUGUGUUUGCAGAAGGUAAAGGACAAGCAUUAGAGAAUGAAGACAAAUUUCACCCGAUUUGCUGAAAUAGUCAGGCAUAUAGGCGUCGGGUGGGAUGCAGACACAAAUACCAUCACAGCCGACCCAGAUAUUUGGAAUAUGUUUACAAAGAAUAGGGCGUACGAGACAUUCCGGAGCAAGGGCUGCAAGCACUACGAUUUCCAAAAGUAACUGUUUAGUUCUUCAGUUGCUAUCGGUACUCUUCGCAUCUCCUCGACCGAUCCACCUCCAACUUUAGAAGAAGAACGUCGGUUAAAUAAGGAAUUCUUAUCUCGGGGGAAGGGAAAACAGAAACAACAUAUGGAUCUCGAAGAAGGAUCUGACGAGAGUGACGACCCCGUCCAUGUUGCAGAGCCCAUUCUAACCGAGUCUCAACGUCGAGUGCCGAAAAGAAGUCAACGCAAGAGCUCACAAAUGUAGGAGUGCAUGGACAUGUUCGGGGAAAGUCUCACAAAGAAGCGACAGAUCACCCCAACGUCGGCAAAAGACAAGCAAAUCGGUAUCGAGCCCUGAGAAACCUGAGAAGAAUAGUAUCGAGGAAGCCCUCGAUGAGUUGGCUAAAUUGAAAUUAAGAAUCCCUCACCCCUUGUUUUUGAAAGUAGGCUCGACACUCCUUGAUCCGGCAGCGAUGAGGCUUUUCAUGUAGUUCAAGGAGAACGAUCGUCUGGAAUGGAUAUUGCAGCUUUCUCAUCCUUGAAGAAUCCAUGAUCCCAUAUAUAUAUAUAUAUAUAUAUAUUCCGAUAAACAACGUUGUUUCUUUGCUUGUUAUGACUCAACUCAUACUGCUCAUGUUUUUUCUGUGCGUUUGCUUAUGUUGAUGAUUAUAUAUAUUUUAUGUGUGUGUUGCAUGUUA